AAGCGGGUGGUUAGCUCUCAGGUAGGUGAACAGUAAUAAUGACAUACCUUACUCCUUGAAAUGCGUGCUAUUUAUAUUAUUCUAGUGGGCCUACCUUGUUGGGCCCGCUUAUCGAGGUGGAUACCGCUUAGGGUUGCAUUACCUAAUUCUUGAUGAUGGAUUAGCUUCACUGAUCUCGGUUUGAGCGUUAAUUGUAAUGGGGUUCGGCCGGCCAAAUACCCGUGGCCUUCGGCCGUCUCAGUUGAGUCUCCAACGGUCUCGGUCGCUCGGCCAAGUCUCCAAAAGGUCUCGGCCUCUCGGUCUCUCGGCCAAGUCUUCAAGGGGUAUCGGCCUUUCGGUCCCUCAGUCAGAUUGACUGGGCAUCGGGCAGCCAGGUGGGUCCCAGUCUCGCCCAGUACCGGUACA
rnacentral:lncRNA from 1 species